rnacentral:rRNA from 1 species
GAGCUUGCUCACGGGCUUUCUAUCAUAUCCAUAACACCUGUGCACUUGUUGGAUGUCUAGAGACGUAAAGUCGACAGUCAUCCACUUACACUAAACAAUAAUGUAACAAAUGUAGUCUUAUUAUAACAAAAUAAAACUUUCAACAACGGAUCUCUUGGCUCUCGCAUCGAUGAAGAACGCAGCGAAAUGCGAUAAGUAAUGUGAAUUGCAGAAUUCAGUGAAUCAUCGAAUCUUUGAACGCACCUUGCGCUCCUUGGUAUUCCGAGGAGCAUGCCUGUUUGAGUGUCAUGAAAACCCUCAACCUUAGAUUGGUUAUUUGACCUUUCUUUGGCUUGGAUUUGGACGUUUGCCGAUGUCAAGUCGGCUCGUCUUAAAAGUAAUAGCUGGAUCUGUCUCGCGACAUGGUUUGACUUGGCGUAAUAAGUAUUUCGCUAAGGACAUCUUCGGAUGGCCCUGUUGCAGGACUAAAGACCGCUUUCUAAUCCAUUGAUCUUCGGAUUAAUAUUCAUAACAUCUGGCCUCAAAUCAGGUAGGACUACCCGCUGAACUUAAGCAUAUCAAUAAGCGGAGGA